CUUAAAGUCCUUAAAUAUACUAAGAAACACAAAUGAUGAAGAAAUGUGUAACGGUCAGCACUUCACACUAAAAUGACAGUUGAUAAGAGGAAGUUGAUAAGAGGAAAUAAAAACCUCAUAAAAAAGCUGCAAAAGAGAAUGGCCUCAAACAUACUCAGAAACACGAGGAGCUGCUGUCGACGCAACUCUUUUCUCUUCAUUCUCAACGACCGACUCAAACACUGAUAUGUCUGCUGCCACCAAACUGAAGGCCCUGAAGGUCUGGCUGGGGAUGUGUCUGGCCUUCACUCACUUGUUGGCAUCCAAAGACGGGACCGUGGGAGCUGUGGCUCCUCUGGAGCUGAAGAGAGCCCAGCAGUAUGCAGUGGAUGUGAUUCUUGAUCCUGAUACAGCACAUCCUGAACUCAUCCUGUCUGAUGAUGGGAAACAAGUAUAUCAUGGUGAUGUGGAGAAGUAUUUCAAAGACAACUCAAAGAGAUUUUUUUGACUACUAAUGUUUUAGGAAAGCAGAGUUUGACUUCAGGCAAAUUUUACUUUGAGGUUCAGGUUAGAGGAAAGAAUUGCUGGGCUGUAGGAGUGGCCAGAGAGUCGAUCGACAGGAAACGAAAAAUCUCACUGAGUCCUCGGUAUGGUUUCUGGACUAUAUGGUUGAGAAAUGGAAAUGAGUACAAAGCUCUUGCUCGGCCUUCAGUCCGUCUCUCUCUGCAGUCUCAGCCUCAGAAGGUGGGGGUGUUUGUGGAUUAUACAGAGGGUCUGGUGUCCUUUUAUGACGUAGAUGCUGCAGUUCUUAUCUACUCCUUUACUGACUGCGCAUUCACUGAGAAACUCUACCCAUUCUUCAGUCCCUGUAAUAAUAAUGGUGGUAGAAACUCCGCUCCUCUGAUCAUCUCUCCUGUAUAUUAAACUGCCUGAUCUAGUUUCUAUGAUCAGCAACUUAUUAAG